CAUGACUUUUGCUUUGUGUUAUUACUUAAUUUAAAGGAUUGAUGAAGAGUGAUGUCCUCAUUAUUAAGUUUAUAACAUAUGUUCAAGAUAGAGCACAAAGCUUUCAGCCUGUCCUAGUGAGUAAAAAUGGCUUUAAAGAUACCAUGUGAAUAGAUAAUACAGGUGUCUGUAUGGCAGAGUUGUUUCCCCUACACAAGAGCAUGGAAUUUAUUUGGGCUAUUCGAAUGUAACCAAGAUCAUUACAUCAGAAGGAGGACAGGUGAACAUACAGAUAUAUAUGUUGCAUGGGAGUGGAUAAGCA